rnacentral:rRNA from 1 species
UACGGGGGGGGCAAGCGUUGUUCGGAAUUACUGGGCGUAAAGGGCUCGUAGGUGGCCAACUAAGUCGGACGUGAAAUCCCUCGGCUUAACCGGGGAACUGCGUCCGAUACUGGAUGGCUUGAGUUUGGGAGAGGGAUGCGGAAUUCCAUGUGUAGCGGUGAAAUGCGUAGAGAUAUGGAGGAACACCAGUGGCGAAGGCGACUUUCUGGUCUGUAACUGACACUGAGGCGCGAAAGCGUGGGGAGCAAACAGG